AGUCUGAAUUGUGUUACACAGGGCGAUCGCACUCAGACACUGCUGGUCGAGGCUGUCUUCAAACCCCGCAGGGGACAUUUUCUGUUACAGCCUCCCAUUCUCACGAAUGGGGUCCUUCUCAAACCCAGAUGACCUUUUCUCAGACCGUUCCC
rnacentral:sRNA from 1 species